ensembl:lncRNA
CUCUGUAUGUACGUAGCGUGGUUCAAUGUGCAUGCGAGGGGAUAUUGAUAUUACUGGAAGAUUUUGGUUGGGUUAAAACGAUGUUUGUACAAGGAAGCAGAAGCACAAAGAAGUUGAGGAAGUAAGGGUUGCAAAGAUUUACAGACCUAAAGACGGGGCCACAACCCAGAAAAGGCACUCGACACACGAAGGCCUGCAGGCCAAGCAGCUCUCAUCAUGCUGUCAUCAUUCACUGCAAGUGUCACUGCUAUUGUCUGGAUGCUACUGCAGCACCGCCUGUCCCAAACUAAUCCUGCACUGGCUUGGCCUUGGGGCCUUGGAACAACACGGCUCAGUCUACAGAUAAGCAGCAUGAACAUUAGGCGUGUAGAGACAUGCCACUGCAGGGAUAAAACAGCACCUUAUUUGCCUUGAAUAUCAAAGUCAACGUCACUCAUGUGACACAGAGGCUACUCAGCUGCAACUGUCAGAAGAGAGUGCCGGCGUUUGAAGGGAAUCCAGGGUCAGCCAUGUGAGUAAUCACUCUGCACUCGGCUACCAUCGUGGAGCUCGGCUGACUGACAUGCUGAAUGACGGGGGUCUCAAGGGCAAUUGGGGGUAGUUUUGGUUUGAACCCUCACUUUACUGGCAACACGCCCUGGGUUUUAGAGGCAGAUCUGCCCAGACCUGUUCAGGCCUGAGAUAAACCAUUUCAGGCCUUUUCGUCUUGGGAGUUAUGACAUUUAAAUAUGAAGCCUCACAUCAGGUAAUUGAGAGGAAUUAUACUUGUAUUACAUGUUGAUUCUAGAAGGUAAUUGGCUUGUUUAAGUUUAAAAUGUUUUGAAGAUAAAUUGCCUUCCCUCAAUUAGUGUUACAUUUUAUUCACGCAUGGCUAAAAAAAAUUAAAUAAGGAACACUUGGAAAGGUUCUUUCCAAAAACCUUGUCUUUGAGAGAGUGGUUGGUAUGUAUGUAAUACAUGUGGAAUUCCCAUUUAUUAUAAAGACAGGGGCCUCUGCGACAAGAUCAGAUGGUACUUUAUCUAGCCCAGAUCUUAUGUUCUGUACAAAGUAUUAUAACAUGUUAUUACCUGUCUUGGGCUGGAUGUCAAAGUAGGUGCGCUGGGACUCCAGCAUGUGGUAGGAUAGCUUCCCCUCAGACGAGGAGUCUGCGUCUGAGGCGUGGAGCUGCAGGACUUGCCGGGCCUUGGCAGCAUUCUCCGGGAUGGUGGCGGAGUAGACCGGCUGGGACAGCUCGGGGGGGUUAUCGUUGACGUCAAGGACCUCCAGGAAGACAUGGGUCCACGACGCCAAUGGCUCCGUGCCCAGGUCCGUCACAUAGGCCGAGAGCCAGUAGUUGGGGACGGCCUCGCGAUCCAGCGCUACUGUCGUACGGAUCACACCUGAUGGACACAAGGGCAGGGAUAUUAGACCAUUACUGAAAAUAAGAUGUGGUUAUGUAGGCUGUUUAUGUGCAGAAACAUUCAUUGGGUGUAAUACCAGCAAUUGGGCGAUUUCAUAUUUUAUGUAAUUCGUUUUUAUCUUCCUUUUGUUGUUAUUUGUAACUUGUUGAGGAUACCUGGAAUUCAACCCUGCCAUUAAUGACUUGUAUUUGUAUUUCUAAUGUGCGUAAAUCAACUUUACACUCAAAACUUGAAGGUCGUCCAAAACACUUGGAGCCUUUUAUAGCUACUCUAUUUCUGAUAUGCAUAGAUUGUGCUCAGCCCAGCUUGUAAAUGUAAUAACUGACUAGAGUUAAAGGCAAACGAUUGUUUUGGGUGAUUCGGAAACAACCAGGGAAACACGACAUGAUUCAACUGAUGUUCAGAGCAGUGAGGGGAAGAGAUGAGGAGAGACCACAGUGAUGUUUAGAAACAGAGACUUGACCCAGGGAAACCUUCAAUGAUUUAUGUGAAUACCAUUGGGGGGGUAGUUAAAUCCAGAGAUGGUUUCCGUAGAACUAUCCUAAAAGCAUUAAAACGUCCAAAAACCCAAAUGAGGAUCAAAGGUCAAGUGGGGAGGGGUCAAGAGGUCUCAAUAAAUCUAUCCUUAUCUCUAUGCUAUAUACAUCUGUUUUUUAAAACCUGUAG